rnacentral:rRNA from 1 species
AGAGUUUGAUCCUGGCUCAGGACGAACGCUGGCGGCGUGCUUAACACAUGCAAGUCGAACGGUGAAGGGACCAGCUUGCUGGUUCUGGAUGAGUGGCGAACGGGUGAGUAACACGUGAGUAACCUGCCCCCUUCUUCUGGAUAACCGCAUGAAAGUGUGGCUAAUACGGGAUAUUCUGCGCCUGCUGCAUGGUGGGUGUGGGAAAGAUUGUGCCUUUGGGUGUUUUCGGUGGGGGAUGGGCUCGCGGCCUAUCAGCUUGUUGGUGGGGUGAUGGCCUACCAAGGCGGUGACGGGUAGCCGGCCUGAGAGGGUGGACGGUCACACUGGGACUGAGACACGGCCCAGACUCCUACGGGAGGCAGCAGUGGGGAAUAUUGCACAAUGGGCGCAAGCCUGAUGCAGCGACGCCGCGUGAGGGAUGGAGGCCUUCGGGUUGUGAACCUCUUUCGCCAGUGAAGAAGGUCCUGCUCUUUGUGGUGGGGUUGACGGUAGCUGGGUUAAUGAAGCGCCGGCUAACUACGUGCCAGCAGCCGCGGUAAUACGUAGGGCGCGAGCGUUGUCCGGAAUUAUUGGGCGUAAAGAGCUCGUAGGCGGCUGGUCGCGUCUGUCGUGAAAUCCUCUGGCUUAACUGGGGGCUUGCGGUGGGUACGGGCCGGCUUGAGUGCGGUAGGGGAGACUGGAACUCCUGGUGUAGCGGUGGAAUGCGCAGAUAUCAGGAAGAACACCGGUGGCGAAGGCGGGUCUCUGGGCCGUUACUGACGCUGAGGAGCGAAAGCGUGGGGAGCGAACAGGAUUAGAUACCCUGGUAGUCCACGCUGUAAACGUUGGGCACUAGGUGUGGGGGGCCUUUUCCGGGUUUUCCGCGCCGUAGCUAACGCAUUAAGUGCCCCGCCUGGGGAGUACGGCCGCAAGGCUAAAACUCAAAGGAAUUGACGGGGGC